ensembl:lncRNA ATP8B5P ATPase phospholipid transporting 8B5, pseudogene
GGGUCUCUAGGGCGUCUGCGCAGGAAGGUGCGUUGAGAUGGCAGUUGCCGGAGUUGGAGGCCGGGCGGCGACGAAAUUCCAUGGAAUUAUAGUUGGUCUACUCUGCAAUGUCUCUAUUUAAAAGCCCAAGUGAGGACAGACAAGAUGAACAACAUGAGAGAUAUCUGCAAGCCAACAACAAAGAAUUCAACAGUAUUUUUGGAUAUCCGGUGAGUGUCAUCCCUCUGGCUGUUUCAGAAGGGGAACAAUGCCAUCAAGACCUCAAAAUAUAGUGUCUUUAAUUUCCUGCCCCUGAACCUAUUUGAACAGUUCCAGAGACUUGCAAAUGCAUAUUUCCUCAUUUUGCUAUUUUUACAGUUGAUUCCCCAGAUCUCCUCCUUGACAUGGUAUACAACUAUAACACCCCUGAUGGUGGUGCUGUCCAUUAACAGCUGUGAAAGAUGCCAUCGAUGACCUGGUGAAGUAGCUUCCUGGGCCUCUACUUCCUCACUGCACCUAGUCAGACUGUGGGCAUGAAGGACUUCCCAGAACUACCUAGUGCUAACAAGAAACCCUGAAUGGAAAGAGAUAUUUCCUUUCUUCUUUCCUUAUUCAUCCCAGAGUAAUAUGCAGUACCUUUAGGCCCAAGAUUGGUGGUCUGUGUAUGGCCAGAAAGGGGCAAAACAAGGCCUUUCUCUAUCUUCCUACUGCCACCACUUUUAGCCCCUCUCCUGAGCCUCCUUCCAUCUUUAAUAACCCACUCUUUCUUUACUCCUCUCUUAGCUUUUUCUAGCUUUGUUCUCAUCCUUUUUCCUCUGCUCCUCCUUCUCCUACUCUAUAUUCCCUUUGCCUUCCUCUAUCUGCCCCUGCUCCAUCUCUCCUAUUCUUUCUCUUUCUUCUCUCCACAUUUCCUGUCUCCUCUCGAACUCUAUUUUCCUUUCCAACUUUCAAUUCUGUUAAGUGUGCACAGCUAGGAACCCUCUGUCCUGGCUUUGAAAGAGAAACUGGCUCACAGUGAGUGCUGCAUGGCUUCCUCUUUGCCUCUUACAGCAGGCCCAGCAUAGAGGGGUGAGAGUAAGGACCCAGUACCAUGCCUACUAGUAGGAUUUGGAAAGCCAGUCCUAUAGACCUGCUUGCAGUUUCCCUAAGAGGGUCUUUCUGAUUUUGCCAGAAUAGAUUUUUAGCCUAGUUUGAGAGCACCUUGUUUCCUCAGCACUUUAUCUCUAUAAACCCAGGAUUAGCAUGUUGUGGUUUACCUUUCAGUCACAACUUAGAUGUACGAAAAUAUAACUUUAUUUCUCUAUAACUGAACUCAGUUUAGCUUAUAACCACAUGCAUACCCCAUCUUAACUCUCUCCAGUGAGAACCAAAAAUUAAUUUACCAAUUCAUGGUAACCCAAUUACUUCUGGCUUAGAAUUCAGUCUCUUUAUGAUAAAUAUUUGGACAAUUUUGAAUUCUGACAAAUUCAGGAUUCUCUCUGCCCCACUCCCAGUCCUACCCUUUACUCAGGGAGUAAUCUCAACUGGAAGGAAGAUAUUUAUGUGAAUCCUGGCAUCAGGACAUAGCCUCUAUUUGUUUCCCUUCUAUUUGAUCUUUAAAUAUUGGCCUCUUUCCUCAGCCACUAUAGAAGCUUCUGUAUGUCAACCAUGGUUGGAGGUAGGGUAGGAGUCUGCUUGAGAAUACUCAGCUUUCCCAGCACCUACCCAGGCAGACAGAAUUCUGUAGCCCUGCCCAUCAUUUGGAUUGUGUCCUCUGCAGCUUUUGAUAUGUUAUUCUCAUUCCUCCAGGUUUUUUGCUUUUGAUAUUUAAAACUAAAAUUUUGUCUCUUUCUUCUCCCUGGAUUCUUUUCCUGCCCUCUCUUCCCAGCUUCCCAGAGAUAAUCAACCUCUUGGCCUAGUUUGAAGGAAAGAAGGGCUUGGGACAGGGGAAAAGGAGAAUUACAAAGAAGGGAACUACAUUGUGUAAUAUUUCAAAAUGUUAAUCUUCUAUAUGCAGUUUGUUAUAGGUCUAUUUCCUGAACAUUUUCUUGUGUGAUUUUAGAAAAGGCAUCAAAGUGACGAUCGAGUCAACAACCAGCCUGUUCUGCUACUGGUGAAUGGCAAGAUAAAGGAGGACAAAUGGAUGAAUGUUCAAGUGGGAGAUAUAAUAAAACUAGAAAAUAAUCAGCCUGUCAUGGCAGAUAUACUAUUACUCUCUAGCAGUGAGCCAUAUAGUCUGACAUACAUAGAGACAGCAGACCUGGAUGGUGAAACCAACCUGAAAGUGAAGCAGGCCAUCUCAGUUACCAGUGACAUGGAAGAUCGCCUGGAGCUUCUGUCUACCUUUAAUGGAGAAGUGAGAUGUGAGGCUCCCAAUAACAAAUUGGACAAAUUCUCAGGAAUACUGACCUAUAAGGGGAAAAACUACUUCCUGGACCAUGACAAGCUGCUACUCUGAGGCUGCAACAUCAGGAAUACAGAUUGGUGCUAUGGCUUGGUGAUCUACACUGGAGAAAUGGUAUUUCCAGUUCAGAAUUUAGCUGUUUGAAAGUCUCAAGCACAGCUUCAAGUGAAGUUAAUCUGAGGUGAAGCAAACAGAAAAUUGUGGAGGUUUUGUUGGUGUGCAAUGGAGGAACAUGGCUCAAGAAACUAAUCACAGCCAAGUACCUAUGCUUUGUUCCACUGGCUGCGGAUUUUAUGGAAACCCUCGUACAAAUGGCACGUGUUCAGUAUGCUAUAAAGAACAUCUUCAAAGACUGAAUAGUAGUAAUGGUAGAAUAAGCCAACCUGCAACCUCUGAAUCUUUACCAGUUCAAUGCACAGAUGGCAGUGUCCCAGAAGCCCAGUCAACAUUAGACUCUACAUCUUCAUCUAUGCAGCCAAGCCCUGUAUCAAAUCAGUCACUUUUAUCAGAAUCUGUAGCAUCUUCUCAAUUGGACAGUACAUCUGUGGACAAGCAGUACCUGAAACAGAAGAUCUGCAGGCUUCAGUAUCAGACAUGGCACAGCAGCCAUCUGAAGAGCAAAGCAAGUCUCUUGAAAAACCAAAACAAAAAAAGAAUCUCUGUUUCAUGUGCAGGAAGAAAGUGGGACUUACUAGGUUUGAAUGCGGUGUAGAAAUGUUUACUGUGGUGUACACUGUUACUCAGAUCUACACAAUUGCUCUUAAAAUUACAAAGCUGAUGCCGCUGAGAAAAUCAGAAAAGAAAAUCCAGUAGUUGUUGGCGAGAAGAUCCAAAAGAUUUGAACUCCUGCUGGAAUACAAAAUUCUUGAUCAUCUGCAAACUAAAAAUUGACUUGAGGUUUUUUUUUCCCUAGUCAUUGGGAAAGUAGAGCAGUGUAUCUUGCAUGUCAUCGGAUGAAUAGAUUUUUGUUUUGAUUUUGUUUUGAAAAUGACUCUGAACAUUUAUUUCCAUUGCAAUUUCUGUGGCUGAGAAGACUUAAACUUUACAAGUAUUAUCCUUAUAAGAUCAUUUUAAUUUUAGUUGAGUGCAGAGGGCUUUUAUAACAAACGUGCAGAAAUUUUGGUGGACUGUGAUUUUUCCAGUAUUAAAUAUGCAUGCAUUAAUCUUGCAGUUUAUUUUCUCAUUGUGUACAUAUAUAUUGCUUUUCUUUGCAGCACGAUUUCUCUUUUGAUAAUGCCCUUUGGGGCACAACUAGUUAUCGGUAACUGAAUGUAUCUUAAUCAUUAUGGCUGCUUCUGUUUUUUCAUUAACAAAGGUUAUUCAUAUGUUAGCAUAUAGUUUCUUUGCACCCACUAUUUAUGUCUGAAUCAUUUGUCACGAGAGUGUGUGCUGAUGAGAUUCUAAGUUUGUGUGUUUAAACUUUUUUUUGAGCGAGGGAAGAAAAAGCUGUAUGCAUUUCAUUGCUGUCUACAGGUUUCUUUCAGAUUAUGUUCAUGGGUUUGUGUGUAUACGAUAUGAAGAAUGAUCUGAAGUAAUUGUGCUGUAUUUAUGUUUAUUCACCAGUCUUUGAUUAAAUAAAAAGGAAAACCAGAAAAAAAAA